CUUCGGUCGUAUCCGUAUCAUGGUCAUCAUCAAGAACUACGCUGAAGUCCGACGUCACAGAAGCAUGGAAGAGGAGACGAAAGAAGGAGACGCGUCUAGGAAGGCCGGCACUACCACCACGGAGUGGCCGGCACUGCCACCCUGCUCGACGCCGGAGGAAGACGGCACUGUCGCCAUGCCUACACCGACACCGCCGUCCCCACUACGAAGCCCAUAAGCUGAACCAUCCCACUAUGCUAUUUGUAUGCCUAAACUACCCCUCCUUAGUGGCUCCCUAUAUAUAGGCUCCCACCUCCCCCUUCAUUAGGUUAGAAGGAAUGAACUUGAGAGAAUUAGGCUCAUGCCUCCACCAUCCCUUUGGGAUUAGGGUAACCCCCUCCUUAGAUUACCAAAAUCUAUUGUACAAGGCACUCCUUAUAUGAUUAGUCUCUCACACUUGUGAUUCUACCACGGUCUCUCA